rfam:Flavobacterium sp. A45 NODE_18_length_58875_cov_15.1383_ID_35, whole genome shotgun sequence.
CCUUAGCCCUGAUGGGAAGGAAAAUCCUUUUGUGAACUUUGUCAAAGUUUUAAACUUUGACAAAGUUCACAAAAGAUUUGGAAGGACAGCAGGAAACCUU